rnacentral:rRNA from 1 species
UACGGAGGAUGCGAGCGUUAUCCGGAUUUAUUGGGUUUAAAGGGUGCGUAGGCGGGCAUUUAAGCCGGCGGUCAAAUGUCGGGGCUCAACCCCGACAAGCCGUUGAAACUGGCUUGCUAGAGUGGGCGAGAAGUAUGCGGAAUGCGUGGUGUAGCGGUGAAAUGCAUAGAUAUCACGCAGAACUCCGAUUGCGAAGGCAGCAUACCGGCGCCCAACUGACGCUCAGGCACGAAAGCGUGGGUAUCGAACAGG